rnacentral:lncRNA from 1 species
ACCUAGGAAGAAGAUUUACAAAGUCAAAAAAAAAUUUCUUUGCAUUGUCCACAUGAACAUCUCAUUAUGUCAAUUCUACGGACAAUACCACAUUGAGCAUUGAAUUUUUCAAAGAAAACACACACAUCAUGUGGCAAAUUUAGUGUUUGCAUGACCAUCUUUAUUCACCCAUGUUGUGGACUAGAUAUAUUCAGUAGUACAACUAAACUAACCAUGCGGAAUAUUCAUUUUGUAGACUAAAAAUACAGUAGUUGAUAUUAAUAGGAAUGGAAUGUUUCAAUAUUGACAGCUGAAUACUUUCAUAGAUUAUCAUCUUCGUUAUCCAUACAUUUUUUCUCACGAGGAUCAUACAUGGCUCUUGUUUGAAGAAAGGCAACCCAUAUUAUGUACCUUUUAUAACACAAUAGAAGUGCAUAGAUUGAACAUUUGUUGAAAUAAAAUGAAAAAAGUACUUGUAUCAUGUUGUAACAAAUAGACAAAUAUUAUCUAAAUUUCUUUUAAGACAAUAUUGAACAGACAAGAGAAAAAUAGCUGCGCCACUCCUAGAUGCCACGUGCGGAUGUUUAUGAAGUUAAAGAAUUUGUUCUUUUCAUAAUCCAUGUGAACAUCUCAUUCAAUCAACCAUACUACAGUUCUAUGAAUAAUACAACAUCAAGCAUUGAAUCUUUUAGAAAAAAUACACAUAUCAUGCAGCAGAUCUAAUGUUUGCAUGACCAUUGUUAUUCACCCAUUUUGUAGACUAUAGACAAAUUCAGCAAUGCAAAUGAUGAGUACAAAAUGUAGUCAAUAGAUACUAUGACCAACUAAACCACGUCA